ACAACCGAAGACGGCGUAGGUGCCCGGGAGACCGGGAGAAUAGGGAAGCCGGUGCAAGUCCGGCGCGGACCCGCCACUGUGAGAGGCG
rnacentral:ncRNA from 2 species